CAGCCGCCGCGGUAAUACGUAGGGGGCGAGCGUUGUCCGGAAUUAUUGGGCGUAAAGCGCGCGCAGGCGGUCCCUUAAGUCUGAUGUGAAAGCCCACGGCUCAACCGUGGAGGGUCAUUGGAAACUGGGGGACUUGAGUGCAGAAGAGGAGAGCGGAAUUCCACGUGUAGCGGUGAAAUGCGUAGAGAUGUGGAGGAACACCAGUGGCGAAGGCGGCUCUCUGGUCUGUAACUGACGCUGAGGCGCGAAAGCGUGGGGAGCAAACAGGAUUAGAUUCCCUGGUAGUCCACGCCGUAAACGAUGAGUGCUAAGUGUUAGAGGGGUUAAACCCUUUAGUGCUGUAGCUAACGCGUUAAGCACUCCGCCUGGGGAGUACGGCCGCAAGGCUGAAACUUAAAGGAAUUGGCGGG
rnacentral:rRNA from 1 species